GCACGUAGUUAGCCGGUGCUUCUUCUGCAGGUACCGUCACUUGCGCUUCGUCCCUGCUGAAAGAGGUUUACAACCCGAAGGCCGUCAUCCCUCACGCGGCGUCGCUGCAUCAGGCUUUCGCCCAUUGUGCAAUAUUCCCCA
rnacentral:rRNA from 1 species